AGGUGGUGCAUGGUUGUCGUCAGCUCGUGUCGUGAGAUGUUGGGUUAAGUCCCGCAACGAGCGCAACCCUCGUUCUAUGUUGCCAGCACGUGAUGGUGGGAACUCAUAGGAGACUGCCGGGGUCAACUCGGAGGAAGGUGGGGAUGACGUCAAAUCAUCAUGCCCUUUAUGUCUUGGGCUUCACGCAUGCUACAAUGGCUGGUACAGAGAGAUGCGAGACCGCGAGGUUUUAGCGAAUCCCUUAAAGCCAGUCUCAGUUCGGAUCGUAGUCUGCAAUUCGACUACGUGAAGUCGGAGUCGCUAGUAAUCGCAGAUCAGCAACGCUGCGGUGAAUACGUUCCCGGGCCUUGUACACACCGCCCGUCAAGUCACGAAAGUCGGUAACACCCGAAGCCGGUGGCCCAACCCUUGUGGAGGGGGCCGUCUAAGGUGGGACUGGUGAUUGGGACU
rnacentral:rRNA from 1 species